CCUACGGGUGGCCGCAGUGAGGAAUAUUGGUCAAUGGGCGCGAGCCUGAACCAGCCAAGUCGCGUGAGGGAGGACGGCCCUACGGGCUGUAAACCUCUUUUGCCGGGGAGCAACAGGCGUCACGUGUGGCGCCACUGAGAGUACCCGGAGAAAAAGCAUCGGCUAACUCCGUGCCAGCCGCCGCGGUAAUACGGAGGAUGCGAGCGUUAUCCGGAUGUAUUGGGUUUAGAGGGUGCGUGGGCGGACUGUUCAGUCAGUGGUAAAAUUGAGGGGCACAACCCCUGCCCGCCAGUGAAACGGGCGCUCUUGAGGGGAAGAGAAGUAGGCGGAAUGCGUGGUGUAGCGGUGAAAUGCAUAGAU
rnacentral:rRNA from 1 species